rnacentral:rRNA from 1 species
CUGUGGGUAGGGGUGAAAGGCCAAUCAAACUCCGUGAUAGCUGGUUCUCCCCGAAAUGCAUUUAGGUGCAGCGUUGCGUGGUCCCUGGUGGAGGUAGAGCUACUGGAUGGCCGAUGGGCCCUGUGGGUUACUGACGUCAGCCAAACUCCGAAUGCCAUUAGGUGUAGCGUGGCAGUGAGACUGCGGGGGAUAAGCUUCGUAGUCGAGAGGGAAACAGCCCAGAUCAUCAGCUAAGGCCCCUAAGCGUGCGCUAAGUGGGAAAGGAUGUGGAGUCGCGGUGACAACCAGGAGGUUGGCUUAGAAGCAGCCAUCCUUGAAAGAGUGCGUAAUAGCUCACUGGUCAAGUGGUUCUGCGCCGACAAUGUAGCGGGGCUCAAGCGUACCGCCGAAGCUGUGGCAGCAACACGCGUGCUGGCGCCAGGAACUGGUUGUUGGUGUGUUGUUGGGUAGGGGAGCGUCCUGCAUGAGGUGAAGCCUGGAGGUGACUUCUGGUGGAUUGUGUGGGAGUGAGAAUGCAGGCAUGAGUAACGAAUCUGCGGUGAGAAUCCGCAGCGCCGAUUGACUAAGGGUUCCAGGGCUAGGUUUAUCCGCCCUGGGUUAGUCGGGUCCUAAGGCGAGGCCGACAGGCGUAGUCGAUGGACAACCAGUUGAUAUUCUGGUACCGCGUUGUGACCGUCCAUGCUGAAGUCAUUGUGCUAACCAAUUUGCCUGCGCGCCCUCGUGGCCUUCGGGUUGUGAGUGUGUGUGUGGGUCUUGGGGUCCCGGUGAUUGUAGGCAAGCGUGUUAACAGGGGUGACGCAGACAGGUAGCUGCAGUGCGCCGAUGGUUGUGCGUAUUUAAGGUUGUGGCCCGCCUCCCAGGUAAAUCCGGGGGGCACCAAGGGUGAGAACUGAUGAGGGUGACACGGUUGUGUCGUCUUGUGGUGAUCCUAUGCUGCCGAGAAAAGCCUCGACGUGAGGGCAUGACGCGCCCGUACCCUAAACCGACUCAGGUGGUCAGGUAGAGUAUACCGAGGCGUUCGAGUGAAUCGUGGUUAAGGAACUCGGCAAAAUUCCUCCGUAACUUCGGGAUAAGGAGGACCCCGUGACUUCCCCGCGCCAAGCGCGCUGGUGGGGUUGUGGGGUCGCAGAGAAUAGGGAGAAGCGACUGUUUAUCAAAAACACAGGUGCGUGCGAAGCCGUAAGGCGAUGUAUACGCACUGACGCCUGCCCGGUGCUGGAAGGUUAAGAGGAACCGUCAGCUGACUUUUUGUUGGUGAAGCGGUGAAUUUAAGCCCCAGUAAACGGCGGUGGUAACUAUAACCAUCCUAAGGUAGCGAAAUUCCUUGUCGGGUAAGUUCCGACCUGCACGAAUGGCGUAACGACUUCUCCGCUGUCUCAACCGCGAACUCGGUGAAAUUGCAGUACGAGUAAAGAUGCUCGUUUCGCGCAGAAGGACGGAAAGACCCCGGGACCUUUACUAUAGCUUGGUAUUGGUGUUCGCUUGGACUUGUGUAGGAUAGGUGGGAGACUGUGAAGCUGCCGCGCCAGCGGUGGUGGAGUCGUCGUUGAAAUACCAUUCUGGUUCAAGCGGUCACCUCAACCUUGGCCCGUGAUCCGGGUUGGGGACAGUGCCUGGUGGGUAGUUUAACUGGGGCGGUUGCCUCCUAAAAUGUAACGGAGGCGCUCAAAGGUUCCCUCAGCCUGGUUGGUAAUCAGGUGGCGAGUGCAAGUGUACAAGGGAGCUUGACUGUGAGACCGACGGGUCGAGCAGGUGCGAAAGCAGGAACUAGUGAUCCGGCCAUGGCACGUGGGUGCGUGGUCGCUCAACGGAUAAAAGGUACCCCGGGGAUAACAGGCUGAUCUUGCCCAAGAGUCCAUAUCGACGGCAUGGUUUGGCACCUCGAUGUCGGCUCGUCGCAUCCUGGGGCUGGAG